UUUCUUUUUGACCUGGGGCCGGCACGGCACUAUGUGAACAACAAGGAAAAUGGAAAAAAAUAUUGUAUGGCAUUAUUAGCAAGGACCUGUCUUAAGCCUGAGCCGGUUGCACCUCUUGCUCCCCUCUCGAUUUUCUCGCCCGUUGCCGCUACACGUUCGGGGAAGCAUAUGCUAUGCUCCAUCUUCAUCUUCUCCCCUCCUAUGUUCGGCGAAUUAAUCGACGAUCAUCUCUCCCCAGUUGAAGCUCUGAAGAUCGGCGCAGUAUAGCUUUACAAGGCCCACGAGAAGCGUGGAUACAACCUAGAAGGGCUGGUUGCCACGGCUUCGUGGAAAGUGAGAUCAGAAAUGUGGACGACAAAGCAAAUCAGUAUUGCAGUUCUGAUCACCUUCUUCUCUCCUCUCGUCGUGCGGUAUUUGAUAGUGAACAGCCCAGCGUCAGGAGAAUCCCGAAAUCAGAUCCUCCAUGCCAAUCCCCUCGCAUGGCUGAGCAACCAAGCGGAUGCACCGGUAGCCGAUCCAGAAAAUACACAUGUAGUAGCAGUAGCAGCGGACACUUCAAGCAGCUUGGAUUCCGGGAAUUCCUCCCUUGAAGGAUUACAUUGGCUAGAUACCUGGAAUCAUAUGACGCGGUUAGCCAACAUCUCUGCUGGCCUUCCUCAUGCGACUGAAGCAAUCAACGAUGCAAGAACUGCAUGGGAAAACCUGACGACGUCAGUUCAGAAUGCAAGUUCUCCAAGGACAAAGAAAGAGAGACUAUGUCCAUAUUCCAUUCGCACAAUGAACGCUUCCAAGUCCGAGGGUAGUAAUUUUACCAUCAGCAUACCUUGCGGGCUUGUUGCAGGUUCUUCCGUAACUGUUAUAGGCACUCCUGGUAGCCUCUCUGGUAACUUCUGGAUCGAUCUUGUUGGGACGGCACUCCCAGGGGAAUCCCAAAAACCCAUUAUAGUGCACUACAAUGUCCGUCUAACUGGCGAUAAACUUACUGAAGGUCCAGUCAUAGUGCAGAACACCUUCACUGCAAGCAACGGCUGGGGUUAUGAGGAUCGUUGCCCCUGCAAGAACUCGAGCAAUGCAACUGAAGUGGAUGGCUUGGAGCGAUGUAAUUCCAUGGUGGGUAGAGAAGAAAAGAGCAUAAUGAACUCAACACGUAACACUGGUGCCAAGCAAGGUAGAAAAUCAAGCAAACAUUUUCCAUUUAAGCAGGGAUACCUUGCUAUUGCAACUCUCCGUAUAGGACUCGAAGGAAUCCAUAUGUCAGUUGAUGGGAGACAUAUUACUUCAUUUGCAUAUAGAGCGGGCUUGGAACCUUGGUUUGUUACUGAAGUGAGAAUUUCUGGUGAUUUCGAUCUAGCAAGUGCAAUUGCAAGCGGCUUGCCCACAUCAGAAGAUUUGGAGAAUAGCGUCGAUCUUGAAAUGUUGAAGUCAACACAUAUUUCAGAUGGCAAAGAUCUCGACCUUCUGAUUGGCAUAUUUUCAACAGCAAACAACUUCAAGCGUAGAAUGGUGAUUCGAAGAACAUGGAUGCAACAUGAUGCUGUGCGUAAUGGAACAGUAGCAGUCCGUUUUUUUGUUGGCCUGCAUACAAACCUGAUGGUAAAUGUGGAACUCUGGAAUGAGGCACGAACAUAUGGUGACAUUCAGGUGUUGCCGUUCGUUGAUUACUACAGCUUAAUUACAUGGAAGACACUGGCAAUAUGCAUCUACGGGACCGACACUGUAUCAGCAAAGUAUCUGAUGAAAACAGAUGAUGAUGCUUUCGUUCGGGUACACGAAAUCCAGUCAUCAGUAAAAAAGCUGAAUGUCAGUAACGGUCUGCUUUAUGGCCGCAUCGAAUCUGACUCAAGCCCUCACAGAAAUCGUGACAGCAAAUGGUACAUAAGCCCAGAGGAAUGGCCUGAAGAGAAAUACCCACCAUGGGCUCAUGGACCAGGAUACGUGGUUUCAGAAGAUGUUGCAAGAACAAUCAACACUUGGUAUAAAACAAGUUGUCUGAAGAUGUUCAAACUAGAAGAUGUAGCAAUGGGCAUAUGGGUUAACGAAAUGAAGAAGGGUGGCUUACCCAUCAGAUAUGAAACAAAUGAAAGGAUUUACAUUGAUGGAUGCAAGGACGGGUACAUUGUUGCUCAUUAUCAAGAACCAAGGAAUAUGCUAUGCAUGUGGGAGAAACUCCUAAGGACAAAUCAAGCAACAUGCUGCAACUAACUAACGCACAGGGAAUUUGAUGCCAUGAGCAUUGCAUAUAUUUGUUUUAUUUUUUCAAUGGAUUAAGGACAAUCAUUCAUGGUGCAAUGAGGAUGGGAUGAUUCGGGAUUUAUUAGCAAGAACCUAGUGACGGUGUAGAUUCCAUUACUGGCAAACGAUUCUCAACAUAUCAGUGAUUGGGCAGUUCAGACAGGCAUCACAAGGGUUCCUAGCUGCUGUCACCGGUGGUUACUGAAGCUUCCAACAAGAAUACUAAGAAGGUUGAAAGGUUCAGAAGAUGAGGGUUAUGAGUAGUUCAGUUGGGAGGUUGUAAUAUAUGGACAACAGGUGAUGUUUUCGGGUUGAUUGACUGGUAGUCUAGUAGGGUGUGUGUGCUGGGAUCCUGGAGGUCAUCCAGACCCUGCAGAUGUGGAGGUGACUCAAAACUUGGAUGUGGUAAUAUCACUUUAUCAGUUCAACUCUAUGAAAGAAAU